rnacentral:snoRNA from 1 species
UAAACGUCAUUUUUCCUUUGUUUAAAAAAUACAUUUUUCGUUCAAAGGACAGUGCAAUAGAAAUUCAAUAUCUGGCAUCGUUGGUUUUUUUGGCUUUAUCCAUGAUAAACCUGGUAUUUCUAUUGAUACAGUA